rnacentral:rRNA from 1 species
GCACCAGACUCCUACGGGAGGCAGCAGUGGGGAAUAUUGCACAAUGGGGGGAACCCUGACGCAGCAACGCCGCGUGGGUGAAGAAGUACUCCGGUAUGUAAAGCCCUGUCAGCAGGGAAGAAAAUGACGGUACCUGACCAAGAAGCCCCGGCUAACUACGUGCCAGCAGCCGCGGUAAUACGUAGGGGGCAAGCGUUAUCCGGAUUUACUGGGUGUAAAGGGAGCGCAGGCGGCACGGCAAGCCUGAUGUGAAAGCCCGCGGCCCAACCGCGGGACUGCAUUGGGAACUACCGGGCUGGAGUGCCGGAGAGGUAGGCGGAAUUCCUAGUGUAGCGGUGAAAUGCGUAGAUAUUAGGAGGAACACCAGUGGCGAAGGCGGCCUACUGGACGGUGACUGACGCUGAGGCUCGAAAGCGUGGGGAGCAAACAGGAUUAGAUACCCGGGUA